UGCAGUCGACCGGCAGCGCGAGAGAGCUUGCUCUCUUGGCGGCGAGUGGGGGACGGGUGAGUAAUGUAUCGGAACGUGCCCAGGAGGCGGGGGAUAACUACUCGAAAAGAGUGGCUAAUACCGCAUACGCCCUACAGGGGAAAGGGGGGGAUCGCAAGACCUCUCACUAUUGGAGCGGCCGAUAUCGGAUUAUCUAGUUGGUGGGGUAAAGGCUCACCAAGGAAACGAUCCGUAGCUGGUUUGAGAGGACGACCAGCCACACUGGGACUGAGACACGGCCCACACUCCUACGGGAGGCAGCAGAGGGGAAUUUUGGACAAUGGGGGAAACCCUGAUCCAGCCAUCCCGCGUGUAUGAUGAAGGCCUUCGGGUUGUAAAGUACUUUUGGCAGAGAAGAAAAGGUAUCCCCUAAUACUGGAUACUGCUGACGGUAUCUGCAGAAUAAGCACCGGCUAACUACGUGCCAGCAGCCGCGGUAAUACGUACGGUGCAAGCGUUAAUCGGAAUUACUGG
rnacentral:rRNA from 1 species